rnacentral:rRNA from 1 species
CAUGGUCUUAGCUUGCUAAGGCCGAUGGCGACCGGCGCACGGGUGAGUAACACGUAUCUAACCUGCCGUCUACUCUUGGACAGCCUUCUGAAAGGAAGAUUAAUACAAGAUGGCAUCAUGAGUCCACAUGUUCACAUGAUUAAAGGUUUACCGGUGUAAGAUGGGGAUGCGUUCCAUUAGAUAGUAGGCGGGGUAACGGCCCACCUAGUCUUCGAUGGAUAGGGGUUCUGAGAGGAAGGUCCCCACAUUGGAACUGAGACACGGUCCAAACUCC